GGGAGAAUUCGAAAGAUCUCACUUUUCCCUCUAAAAAGCUUCGUUUCAAUUUCGAAGUUUCAGAUCUCUUUUUUGUCUGUUUCUGGCUGAUAAUGGAUACUUCAAAGGAGAAGAAAGGUGCCGGAGGAAGAAGAGGAGGGGAUAGGAAGAAGGCUGUUUCGAAGUCGAUCCGGGCGGGGCUCCAAUUUCCAGUGGGUCGAAUUGCUAGGUUUCUCAAAAAGGGCCGUUAUGCUCAGAGAUUUGGGGUCGGAGCCCCGAUAUAUCUCGCUGCAGUUCUUGAGUAUCUAGCCGCUGAG
rnacentral:misc_RNA from 1 species